GCAUGUUCACAUGAUUAAAGGUAUUCCGGUAGACGAUGGGGAUGCGUUCCAUUAGAUAGUAGGCGGGGUAACGGCCCACCUAGUCUUCGAUGGAUAGGGGUUCUGAGAGGAAGGUCCCCCACAUUGGAACUGAGACACGGUCCAAACUCCUACGGGAGGCAGCAGUGAGGAAUAUUGGUCAAUGGGCGAGAGCCUGAACCAGCCAAGUAGCGUGAAGGAUGACUGCCCUAUGGGUUGUGAACUUCUUUUAUAAAGGAAUAAAGUCGGGUAUGCAUACCCGUUUGCAUGUACUUUAUGAAUAAGGAUCGGCUAACUCCGUGCCAGCAGCCGCGGUAAUACGGAGGAUCCGAGCGUUAUCCGGAUUUAUUGGGUUUAAAGGGAGCGUAGAUGGAUGUUUAAGUCAGUUGUGAAAGUUUGCGGCUCAACCGUAAAAUUGCAGUUGAUACUGGAUAUCUUGAGUGCAGUUGAGGCAGGCGGAAUUCGUGGUGUAGCGGUGAAAUGCUUAGAUAUCACGAAGAACUCCGAUUGCGAAGGCAGCCUGCUAAGCUGCAACUGACAUUGAGGCUCGAAAGUGUGGGUAUCAAACAGGAUUAGAUACCCUGGUAGUCCACACGGUAAACGAUGAAUACUCGCUGUUUGCGAUAUACAGCAAGCGGCC
rnacentral:rRNA from 1 species